rnacentral:tRNA from 2 species
AGCCCCGUCGUCUAGCGGUCAAGGAUGCAGGGCUUUGGACCCUGCGACGGCGGUUCGAAUCCGCCCGGGGCUA